rnacentral:lncRNA from 1 species
UGUCUUUUUCUUUUUUAUUUAUUUCAGCUGAAUAUUUUUAAAAUCAUAGUAAAUCACAUAAAAUUCAUAAAAUAGUAAAUCUGAUUUGGUUGGACUCCAGGUAAGUAGAUCUACAUAGUGAACGUAUAACAUGGUAUGAUUUAGUACAAAGUUUUGUUGUAGGUUUAGAUAUGUGUUUUUCUACAAUUAAUUAGAAUAAUUGAUAGCUACAGUUUCUAUGAUUCAAUUGUGGUGAAUUUUUUUUUAUGUUGGACUAAUUAUUGUAUGUUUAAACUGUGG